UCGGCCCUGCUCACGCAUGCGCCCCGGCCGCAGCCUCGCUGCCGCGCCAUUUUGCCGGGGUUUGAAUGUGAGGUGGAGCGGCAGUAGGAGUGGGUAGUGCUGGCUGCCGUCCGCGGCUGAGAUUCCCUUCUCCGUUCCCGUAUCCCCACGAGGUUCUAUGGCAAUGGAGCUCAGCGAUGCAAAUUUGCAAACACUAACAGAAUAUUUAAAGAAAACCCUUGAUCCUGAUCCUACAAUCAGACGUCCAGCUGAGAAGUUUCUUGAAUCUGUAGAAGGAAAUCAGAAUUAUCCACUAUUGCUGUUAACAUUACUGGAGAAGUCCCAGGAUAAUGUUAUCAAAGUGUGUGCUUCAGUAACAUUCAAGAACUAUAUUAAAAGGAACUGGAGAAUUGUUGAAGAUGAACCGAACAAAAUUUGUGAAGCUGACCGAGUGGCCAUUAAAGCCAACAUUGUGCACUUGAUGCUUAGCAGCCCGGAGCAAAUUCAGAAGCAGUUAAGUGAUGCCAUUAGCAUUAUUGGCAGAGAAGAUUUCCCUCAGAAAUGGCCUGACUUGUUGACAGAAAUGGUGAAUCGCUUUCAGAGUGGAGAUUUCCAUGUUAUUAACGGAGUCCUCCGUACAGCACACUCUUUGUUUAAAAGAUACCGCCAUGAAUUUAAGUCAAACGAGUUAUGGACUGAAAUUAAACUUGUUUUGGAUGCCUUUGCUUUGCCUUUGACUAAUCUGUUUAAGGCUACUAUUGAACUCUGCAGCACCCAUGCAAAUGAUGCCUCUGCCCUGAGGAUUCUUUUUUCUUCCCUGAUUCUGAUAUCAAAACUGUUUUACAGUUUAAACUUUCAGGAUCUCCCUGAAUUUUUUGAAGAUAAUAUGGAAACUUGGAUGAAUAAUUUUCAUACCCUCUUGACAUUAGAUAAUAAGCUUCUACAAACUGACGAUGAAGAAGAAGCAGGCUUAUUGGAACUCUUAAAAUCCCAGAUUUGUGAUAAUGCCGCACUCUAUGCACAAAAAUAUGAUGAAGAGUUUCAACGGUACCUGCCUCGUUUUGUCACAGCCAUCUGGAAUUUACUAGUUACAACAGGUCAAGAGGUUAAAUAUGACUUGUUGGUAAGUAAUGCAAUUCAGUUUCUGGCUUCGGUUUGUGAGAGACCUCACUAUAAGAAUCUAUUUGAGGACCAGAACACGCUGACAAGUAUCUGUGAAAAGGUUAUUGUGCCUAACAUGGAAUUUAGAGCUGCUGAUGAAGAAGCCUUUGAAGAUAAUUCUGAGGAGUACAUAAGAAGAGAUUUGGAAGGGUCUGAUAUUGAUACUAGACGCAGGGCUGCUUGUGAUCUAGUACGAGGAUUAUGCAAGUUUUUUGAGGGCCCCGUGACAGGAAUCUUCUCUGGUUAUGUUAACUCCAUGCUGCAGGAAUAUGCAAAAAAUCCGUCUGUCAACUGGAAACACAAAGAUGCAGCCAUUUACCUAGUGACAUCUUUGGCAUCGAAAGCCCAAACACAGAAGCAUGGAAUUACACAAGCGAAUGAACUUGUAAACCUGACUGAGUUCUUUGUAAAUCACAUUCUCCCUGAUUUAAAGUCAGCUAAUGUGAAUGAAUUUCCUGUCCUUAAAGCUGAUGGUAUCAAAUACAUUAUGAUUUUUAGGAAUCAGGUACCAAAAGAGCAUCUUUUAGUCUCUAUUCCUCUGUUGAUUAAUCAUCUUCAAGCUGAAAGUAUUGUUGUUCAUACUUACGCUGCACAUGCUCUUGAGAGACUGUUUACUAUGAGAGGGCCUAACAACGCCACUCUCUUUACAGCUGCAGAAAUCGCACCGUUUGUUGAGAUUCUGCUAACAAACCUUUUCAAAGCUCUCACACUUCCUGGCUCUUCAGAAAAUGAAUAUAUUAUGAAAGCUAUCAUGAGAAGUUUUUCCCUUCUACAAGAAGCCAUAAUCCCCUACAUCCCUACUCUCAUCACACAGCUUACACAGAAGCUAUUAGCUGUUAGUAAGAACCCAAGCAAACCUCACUUUAAUCACUAUAUGUUUGAAGCAAUAUGUUUAUCCAUAAGAAUAACUUGCAAGGCUAACCCUGCUGCUGUUGUAAAUUUCGAGGAGGCUUUGUUUCUGGUGUUUACUGAAAUUUUACAAAAUGAUGUACAAGAAUUUAUUCCGUAUGUCUUUCAAGUGAUGUCUUUGCUUCUGGAAACACACAAAAAUGACAUCCCAUCUUCCUAUAUGGCCUUAUUUCCUCAUCUCCUUCAGCCAGUGCUUUGGGAAAGAACAGGAAAUAUUCCUGCUCUAGUGAGGCUUCUCCAAGCAUUCUUAGAACGAGGUUCAAAUACAAUAGCAAGUGCUGCAGCUGACAAAAUCCCUGGGUUGUUAGGUGUCUUUCAGAAGCUGAUUGCAUCCAAAGCCAAUGACCACCAAGGUUUUUAUCUUCUAAACAGUAUAAUAGAGCACAUGCCUCCUGAGUCAGUUGACCAGUACAGGAAGCAAAUCUUCAUUCUGCUAUUCCAAAGACUUCAGAAUUCCAAAACAACCAAGUUUAUCAAGAGUUUCUUAGUCUUUAUUAAUUUGUAUUGCAUAAAAUACGGGGCACUAGCACUGCAAGAAAUAUUUGACGGUAUACAACCAAAAAUGUUUGGAAUGGUUUUGGAAAAAAUCAUUAUUCCUGAAAUUCAGAAAGUAUCUGGGAAUGUAGAGAAAAAGAUUUGUGCGGUUGGUAUAACCAAAUUACUGACAGAAUGUCCCCCAAUGAUGGAUACAGAGUACACCAAGCUGUGGACCCCUUUGUUACAGUCGCUGAUUGGCCUGUUUGAGUUACCUGAGGAUGACACCAUUCCUGACGAAGAACAUUUUAUUGACAUAGAAGACACACCAGGAUACCAGACUGCCUUCUCACAGUUGGCAUUUGCUGGGAAAAAAGAGCAUGAUCCUGUCGGUCAAAUGGUAAACAACCCCAAAAUUCACCUGGCACAGUCGCUUCACAAGUUGUCUACUGCCUGCCCAGGAAGGGUAAGUGUCGUUGUUGCCAGAGACCUCCGAUCGGUCUUCCCAUUAACAGACCUUCCCGGGAAGGCAAGAAGGCAGUAGUUCUGGGCUCUGUGAGCAUUGUUCACCAUAGUCAGCAUCCCACAGAGUUGUCUUCGAGGCCCUUUUUUAAAGAAAUUAAAAUGACAGGCUCUUGGAGUUCCCCUGUGGUACAGCGGGUUAAGGAUCCAGUGUUGUUACUGCAGUGUCUGAGGUUAUUGCUGUGCCCUGUGUUUGAUCCCUGGCCUGGGAACUUCCACAUGCCAUAGGUACAGCCAGGGAAAAAAAAGAUUGGCUCAUGUGCAAAUGAUUUUACAAAUAAAGACAAAGGAGGAUAAAAGCUUUGGAUUAGAAAUGUAUUUAUUCCCCAGAAAGGAUUGUUUCAGUUAUUAAAAUGUAGGUGUUGAUUUUCUUGUUAACUGCAACAUACUCAGAAAUAAUGAAUCAUAGAGUACAUCAAAUAAUGGCCUUGUAAUUGCAUUAGUUAGAAACUCUAAGAUUAUUACACUUUUCAUUGCUUUAUUAUGGAGACCUCGAAAUACAGAAAAAAGGGUAAAAGCCCUUGUGUGUGGCUCUUCAGUAAGUAAUUUUAGAGCAAGCCUUAGGCGUCCUGUCUUUUCAACCAGACUCACCUCAUUAUGCAUCAGGAACAAAUAGGACUUUUUCGGUAAUCCCACACAGUACCACUGUCACACUGAGCACUAAAGCAGUAAUUCCUCAUGGAUCCCCUUUCUCGACCUAUCCAUCUUUGAAGGUAUAAAAGCAGUUCUGAGUUACUUGCAAAUCCCUUCAAGAGUCAGUGCUGAGGGAUUACCCUUUCCACGGCUGCGGCAGCUCCCCCGUGGGGCGGGGCGGGUUGUUCUGGUGCGUGAGGGUCUCUACCAAGCAGCGCGUCUGCCCCCCAUCCUCUGUAGGUUCCAUCAAUGGUGAGCACCAGCCUCAAUGCAGAAGCGCUGCAGUACCUCCAGGGGUACCUUCAGGCGGCCAGCGUGACGCUGCUGUGAACUCUGGCUUUUUGGAAUUGGCCUUGCCUAGGACGGUCUCUGAGGACAUCGAGUCUGAGCACAGCUGCGUUAAAAAGCAAGUUUUCCUUUUGAACUUGUCACAGAUUCCAUCUUGUAAAGAAUAUUAAAUGUUGCUUUAAUCCGAACCUUGAGCAGAUGCGGUGGUUUGUGUGAUCAUGAAUAUAAAUGGCUGACUUCUUCAGUUUGCAGCGACAAGGACAUUUUUACUAGCUUCGUGUGUGACGCUGAGUUGAGCAAUUGCAGUGUUUCCGUAAUUCUAAAAAAUUGUGAAGGACGCAGACUGUGGAGGUACUUUUUUUUUCCUGUUACCAAACCCUUUUGUUUUGAGGCUUUGCCAUCGUAUUUCUUGUGUCCCUUGUAUUUUUGUCUGUUUCCUUAAGCUUUUAUUGGAAAUGUGAAUAAGCUGAGAAAUAACUUGUGUAACCUGCCAAGGAAAUCUGUUAUCAGCAAUAAAAAAAAAACCCUAAAAUAUGUAUCUAAGACCACCUUAA